CCGAUAACGAUCAAUUCCCAGGGAGCCGGGCCAUAAGACAAGGUGCCCACCAAAGUGAAGCUGGAGCCAGGAUACUUCGAUCCCUCACCGAACCAAAACUUGCUCGUCACCUGUACACCUCCGGUUGGAAGUCCUCCGAUGGUGGUCAGUGCUCCGGAUCCCGUGAUUCUGCCCAAUAGCUUGCUGUCCGCAGCCGCUCCUUCCUUCAACCUGUUGUCAAACACCAUGAAACUACCCCAUCCAAGCGCGCUGAAGUUGCCUUGCCCCGUUCCGGCAGCAGGCAAGAGAGUCGCAUUCGGUCCUCCACGGGUCUCGUGUGCGUAGAAUGUCAAUUUCAACGUCUCUGGCCCGGCUGCCCACCCACACCAAUCGACGGUGAGGAUAUUAACCACAAUAAACAUUUCGCAAUCCAACUCAAAGAAAAUGGCUGGAUGCAUACCACAAUACUAAACCUUGACAUGGGGGAGCGAUGAAUAGGUAAUUACCCCCAGCAACCAGCAACUGCAAGCUGCAUAUGCAAAGCACCACCGUCAAGGUGUACGCCGCUGCGGAGAUCGCCAUCGCUGCUCAACCUGUUACCCCCACAAAUCCACCGUACCACCACAUCGGUCAAUUCUGUCACCGCAUUUUGGUCAUGAAUACAAUCGAAUGGACUAUCGACAGUGCCGAUGAUCAAUCGUCAAAUAGCACCUCAAAAAUCUGUGAUACCUCCGACAACUCUAUCUAAGGACGCACUUCCAUCAUGUUUCAUGUUACUCGUGACUGAAGGAAUUGAAGCGGGAGAGGAACAAGGACCCAAUCUGGAACGUAGGCAUUUGAGUCCAACUUGAUGAAAGACGACUUGAAAACUACGUAGGAAAUGUCGAUGAUCAGAUUAGGAGAGGAAAUCAUAC
rnacentral:lncRNA from 1 species